GAGAGCGAAAAAUGGAGUCCGAUUCCUUCUGAGUCCCUCUUCAGAUACCAGCUGCUGGACCCUAUCUUACAAACCAUAUGCCAGAGGCAGUCCAGGAAGAGCUUCAUGCCGUUGAAGUUGAGGAACAUCUCGCAGUUGUCGGGUGUCUCGUCUGUGAUAUUCCACAGUGCACUCCAGGAGAACUCCAUCACCUGGUCACACUGAAGACCAGGGCGUUGCACAGGUGCACGGCGAUGCGCUGGAUCGACUCGUCCUGCCGCGUGGGGUUGAGGAUGCUGAGCAGGAGCUCGUUGACACGGCGGUACUGGAACUCCAGCUCCUCGGGGAUGCUGAAGUUGCAGAGGGUCAGGCAGCAGUUCCGCUGGACCUGGGCCGGGACAGAGACAAGCGGAGCGGAGUCAGGGGUGGACUCGAGCUGGACUCGAGGGGCUCUUAAGAGGUAACACCAGACUGUUUUGUAAAAUGGCUGUAACCAGUUUACACUCCUACCAGUGGUGCAGGAGAGUUCUAGCUGCUUCAGAUCCUCAAUUUCUCUUUGCGAUGUUGGUCCAUGUUGUAGAGCACGAGGGACACCAGGCUGUCUUUCCACUGGGUGAGGAAGGCUGCGUCGCUCGUCUGAAUGCCUGAGAGGUCCAAGGUGGCCAGCGAGUUGAGCGGUCGCAGCAGGGACUCCACGGGGACCCC